rnacentral:rRNA from 1 species
GAUGAACGCUGGCGGCGUGCUUAACACAUGCAAGUCGAACGGUCAAGCAGAGCUUUCUCUGUUGUUCUGUGGCCAACGGGUGAGUAACACGUGAGCAACUUGCCCCUGUCUCUGGGAUAAGUGCUUGCAACGGCGUCUAACUCUUGCCAUGAGCUGUUUCCGCCUGGUCAGCAGUUGGAAAGAUUUUUCGGUAUGAGAUGGUCUUACGGCCUAUCAGCUUGUUGGUGAGGUAAUGGCUCACCAAGGCGUCGACGGGUAGCCGGCCUGAGAGGGUGUACGGGCACACUGGGACUGAGACACGGCCCAGAAGCCUACGGGAGGCAGCAGUGGGGAAUAUGGCACAAUGGGCGAAAGCCUGAGGCAGAAACGCCGCGUGAGGGAUGACGGCCUUCGGGUUGUAAACCUCUUUUAGCAGGGAAGAAGCGAAAGUGACGGUACCUGCAGAAAAAGCGCCGGCUAACUACGUG